AGCGAACGCUGGCGGCAGGCCUAACACAUGCAAGUCGAACGAACUCUUCCGAGUUAGUUGCGGACGGGUGAGUAACACGUGGGAACGUGCCUUUUGGUUCGGAAUAACUCAGGGAAACUUGUGCUAAUACCGAAUGUGCCCUUCGGGGGAAAGAUUUAUCGCCAUUAGAGCGGCCCGCGUCUGAUUAGCUAGUUGGUGAGGUAACGGCUCACCAAGGCGACGAUCAGUAGCUGGUCUGAGAGGAUGACCAGCCACACUGGGACUGAGACACGGCCCAGACUCCUACGGGAGGCAGCAGUGGGGAAUCUUGCGCAAUGGGCGAAAGCCUGACGCAGCCAUGCCGCGUGAAUGAUGAAGGUCUUAGGAUUGUAAAAUUCUUUCACCGGGGACGAUAAUGACGGUACCCGGAGAAGAAGCCCCGGCUAACUUCGUG
rnacentral:rRNA from 1 species